AGAAUGACUCUUGGCAACGGAUAUCUAGGCUCUUGCAUCGAUGAAGAACGUAGCGAAAUGCGAUACUUGGUGUGAAUUGCAGAAUCCCGUGAACCAUCGAGUCUUUGAACGCAAGUUGCGCCCGAUGCCAUUAGGUUGAGGGCACGUCUGCCUGGGCGUCACAU
rnacentral:rRNA from 1 species